rfam:Chloroflexi bacterium RBG_13_51_36 RBG_13_scaffold_6530, whole genome shotgun sequence.
CCGUGCUAGGCGGGGAACUAGCGGUGCCCUGUACCCGAAAACCGCUAUAGCGGGGCUGAACUCCUGCUUGAGGUUGACGGCCGGCUAGAUUUGUCCUUGCUGAGCGGCGUUGAUAAUCGGGUUCCAUGCAGCUGGAAACUAUGAACCCCGUCAGGUCCGGAAGGAAGCAGCGGUAAGUAGCAUCUCCAGUGUGAUAUGGAGGCGCCUGGCUGGAGCUAGCUGGCAAAGACGGCUUCCCGGUACGGAAAUCGAGAGCAGGUGCACGG